rnacentral:rRNA from 1 species
GAAAAAUAUACUUUCUUUAUUUUAUAUAAAUAAAUUAAUUUUUUAGUUAAAAAGCUAAGAUUUUUUUAUAGGACGAGAAGACCCUAUAGAACUUUAUUUUCUACAUAUAUAUAUUUUAUAGAUUUUUAAAAUAUUAUAUAUUAAUAGUUAAUUUAAUUGGGGUGAUUGAAAAAAUUAUAUAACUUUUUCUAUUUCUAUCAUUUAUUUAUGAUGUUUUUGAUCCUUUAAUAUGGAAAAUAAGAUUAAGUUACCUUAGGGAUAACAGCGUUAUUUUUUUGGA